rnacentral:rRNA from 1 species
GAUUAUGGCUCAGGACGAACGCUGGCGGCGUGCUUAACACAUGCAAGUCGAACGAGAAUCUACAGAUCGAGGAUUCGUCCAAGAGAAGUAGAGGACAGUGGCGGACGGGUGAGUAACGCGUGAGGAACCUGCCUUUCAGAGGGGGACAACAGUUGGAAACGACUGCUAAUACCGCAUGACACAUUGGGGUCGCAUGGCCUUGAUGUCAAAGAUUUAUCGCUGAAAGAUGGCCUCG